GGGGAGCAGGCUGCCGUCACGGGCAGGUGAUCGAGAGGUGUGUGUGUACUUGUCGCUGCUAUUCGACACCGACAAAACAGAACAACGAAAAUCAACCUAUCCGUUUCUUCCCAUAGCACUGUCUCUUCCGGACGUGCCACAAAUGAAGGGGAAAACAAAAUAAAGAAAAGAACCAGUUUGGCCCGGUUGGAUUGCUCCAGCAUCUGCUAUUCGCAUUUCUUCACAUUUAUAUGGCAAAUAAUAUAGUCGAUAUAACAUGACAAACGAUACGCAUAGCUCUUCAUGGAGUCAGGACAUUACCCAGGACAGAAGUGAAAGUUUUUUUUUCCAUGGGAUUAUGCUGGACUUCUGAAAUUCACUGUUGUCAUUCGGGACUUUACUGUGCGUGUCGUCACGUUUCUCUGACGACCCUUGGCUUGGAUCUCACAGCUUGAUUUUGAGCUUACGUCAUCCCAGACACUAUAAUUAUCCAGACGCCAUUAAGGCUAUCACUGUGGACGUAACACUUGUGAUGCAACACACGUUUAGCAUUUUUCAAAGUAAGUUAUACCCAUUAGACGAUGAAUACAACUAGUUUAACAAGAUGUCUUACUCUCCACGUCAUUGCUCAUGAAAAUGGGAGAAUUGUCUUUUGAUUACCUGACUGGUUAAUUGGUUAUGUCGUUAGAUUUUUGCAAAGGUAUGACAAUUAUUUUUUGCUUAUCAUUUUUUAAGCGAAAUAAAAGUUGUGCUUAAAAUUUUGACUCGGAAUUUGAUAAAACUUAGUCUAUUACAAUAAAAAUUGAACGCUGGUUUCGGUAAAAUCUUUGUUUUCUCAUUAGUCGCGUAUGACAAUUAUUUAGUGUCAUUUUUUGUCCCCACACCCGCAUUUUAUCCGUCACUCAACCUUGUAACCCAGCUGUAUGAUAAAUACCCAAGCAAUUGCUAUUUGCUAUUUUCUGAUGCUAUUUCUAAAAGUUAAAGAUAUUUUGCUAAAGCUAUUUGUUAUCGCUAUCCUUCCCAGCCAUGCUACCAUCUAGCGCUAGAUGAUACAAACUGAAUAGGCAACGCCACGUUGAAAACGUCGUAUUAUUUUCUGAAGUAUACCCGACGCCAUUAUGACUGUUGGAUCUCUCUGAAAAUGUUGUUCAGGUGAUGCAAACGGGUAUACAAAAGAUGAAAUAUGAUAUUGGUCAGAAGCUGAACAUAUUAAGCCAGGCAGGCAUUCCCAACUGGAGUUGCGAAAGUCAGUGGAACGAUGCUCGUUAGGUGACGGAGAACAGGAUAAUUGCACUUCUACCGUACGAUGAGUAAUCAGUUGACGAGAAGGUUUAGAACGGGGGGUUUUUGACCCCAUCGGGGGUUUGGGGGGAACCCCUGGAUGUGAAAGGCCUUGACACCAGUCGACACUGAAGCCUAGAACCAUGAUUCACCGAUGAAAUGUGGAAUUCCCGGUUUAUCAAAAACUUGCACCGGACAGCUAUGACAAGCAGACAAAUUUGUGACAGUAGAUUAUCGAGAAAUUUGUUGGAGAGGUGUUAAGCGGGAAGCUAAUAAAUGUUAAUUGCGUUCCGUUUUUAACAUUCUUUUGGCCACUCGUUAAUACACUGAAAUUUGCAAUUUUUUCGUAACAACCUGAGGGACAGUCUUUUUCACGACACACUAUUGUUUGGAGGUUUAUUUUCACUGGACGUCAUUUGAAUGGUGCAGUUCCUAUCCGCAGCCCUACAGUUUCCAAAAAUAGGCAGUGGAAAAAAUCUGCUCAUUGUGCUGAUCUGCAUAAUGAUUCAUGACUACACAUUAUUAAAAGAUAGCUGUGUAGCUGUGGACUUCCUUUAGAUGACGUAAAUAUUUUCCUGCUUCUUGGAAAAAGGAACAUAAGAUGUCUUGAUGCCAAUCAAGUGUUUUUAAAAGAUUUUUAAGCAGGAUAAACCUAAAGUUGGAGGACAAUACAUCCGUUUCCUGUUAUUAGUUUUGUAAAACAAAUGGUUAUUGGUUGCAGAGUCAGAGACUAAUGUUUGGAAUCUGAAAUUCUAGCCCUCAAAAUUCCAGCUGCCCUUCUGCUUUAACAAGGGUGUAAAGCAAAUAUUAUUUCAGGAGGUCCAAACUCAGUUUACGAAGCAGAUGCCCCACUAUACGACAGAGCAAUCUUUACUUGUUAUCUUUUAGUGCCGGGAAUUUGUUAUGCAUGCAAUUACUCAUCAAGGAAUUGGGUGAAACGGUGGAGAGAAAAGGUGUUUGCGAAGAAGGGCAAUUCGAGAUCCAAGUAGAAACGGAGUGCCCACUGUUAAAAGGGUUAGAGACUCGAUAAAUGGCAUUACUGACCCAGGGUGACGGCGUAGACAAGGUUGCAGAAAAACCUUGGUCAUAAUAUUUCCGCUAUUGCUGAUACUGAAUGCCGUCUUUACGGAAUCCAGUUCCAUGAUUUGACUGAAAACGGACGAAAAAUUUUGCAUAACUUCGUGUUCAACAUUUGUGGAUUGCAAGGAUGUUUCACAUUGGAGAAACGCGAGCAACAGUGUAUCGAUUACAUCCGGCGUACGGUUCCUAGGAGGUCGUCAUUAUUUUAUACCAAGUCGGGCUCAAUCUUCGGGUAAUUUGAGAUACUUUUCUGGACCGUUCAGAAUCUUAUGAUUGGCUAAAAUUUGAAACGAAAUUAAUUGAUACGUCGUCCUGUCACAUCUCAAAUUCUAUGGUUUAUAAUUCUUGUUCCAUGACCGAGUUCUUUUACAGACAGGGGCUUCUCAUUUCUUCUUCAUACCAGCAAUCAGAUUUUAUGUUUCGAAUGGUUUGAGGUUGUUAAAGCAAGUUUGACUUUCUACGAUGCUUCCACCAACGUGCAUGCUCGCAAAACUUUGUCGUUGUGUUGGACUGUUAAUCCGGAAGAAAAACGUUGAAUUAUUGGCGAUACCCCGAUACGUUUGUCAAAGUUGCAGGUAGAACGGCUAACAAUUUAAAUCUCACUUGGGAUAAUCAAUUUCUCGGACAAGAUUUCAACCUUCUGUUUUUUUCAUGUAUUAUAUUACCUAAUGUUCAGUGUCAUCAUAUAUGAAAAUAUUGCAGGUACUUUGAGACCGGAUUUAAUUUUAGAAAUUUAACUGAAUUUUAACAUUUUGAAAAUGUGGUAUAUGUUCACAAAUAUUUAAGAUCUAUUCAGAGUGAUACCAUAAAGUAUGGCUGUAGAAAAGGGUACUUAGGCUUCUAAAAAUGAAGAACAGCUCUGACGUCUUUGGUAAUUGAAAAAGGUACUGCAACGAGAAGCGUCACAUGACGGUUUUAAGGAUGGACUCUUUAGUUUGCUUUACCUAAUGAUUCUUUGCCUGUCAGUGGCCCCCAAUCUUUAAUCUUAAAACCCAGAGGUUUUCUUCUUUUUUCAGGGGGAUUGAUUGGCGAUACUUGUUGUUGGAACCAUGAAGAUUACCAAAAGAUGGAUAAAUCGAGGGUUAUAAAAGUAUAAAACUGUAAUUUCUCAUGGCAUUUUGAUUUACGCAUGCGCGACAGUUCGUGAGCAGACGAAUCAUUGAAAGAGCCUUGCGCAGUAUAGCUGCAUACAGAUACAUCUAGAUACUAGUAGAACCCGAAAAAUUCUUUUGACAAGUACUGCCAUAUUUUGGUUGCAGGUUUUCACUAAAUACCAAGUAAGUAAGGGGUUUAAUCGUGUUAAAUGUAUGAUUUUUCGAUUCAAGUUUAUUUAGGUGUCAGAACUGAAAUUGUACUUUUAGAACUUUUAAAAUACCGCAUAGCUUUUUGCUAACAAUAAUUUGCUUUUACAACUAUCAAAAUCUUGUUAACCAUUUAAAGGAACAAAGCUCACUUUUUAGAUUUCUGAAAUUUCAACUUCUGGUUUUACUUCCGGUUUUUAAAUGUCAAAUAAUUCCUUAUUUGUUGGUCUGUCAGAAAAAAUAUUCAUAUUUUCGUGAUCCUCGUCAAAUUUGGGAUCGACUUCGUGGGUCAGCUCAAAAUACCCGAAAAUCGUCAAAAAUCGCGAUUUUGGUCAAAUCCGACUUCUGGCUAAAACCACGUCAUUUCAACCCCAAAUUUGAUAAGGAUCACGAAAAUUCUACUCGUUUUGUUAUGGAAUCACUAUUUUCGGAGAUAGUGGCUACUUCCGGUUACUUCCGGAAAAUUUUCGUGACAAUCUGCAAAAAGUAAAAAAUGAGCUGUAUUGUUCUAACAAUUUCAAACACUUUUCUCGCAUGCGUUAGGGUGUGGCUGCUAUUAUUCCGUGUCUUUCUUGCUUUCAACACUACAGGCUGAUCCUACGAGCUACGACAGUUUUACCCAUAAAGGUUUAGCGUCUCGUGUUGCAUCUUGCAUCUAGUAGUUGAUAAUCUAGGAUAAGCAAAAUUCAAGCAUGUAAAAGCAAGUAUUGUAAUUAUUUCAACAUUCAAAGUAAAAUAUUAUUUUUGGUUCUAGGUGGAAACUCUAGAUGGCGCUGGUGUGAGUAUAUUAUGAAGAUUACGAGUGACAAGUUAAAUGGAUGUUUCUUACGUUAUUACCCUGUUUUGUGUUUCAAAGGAUUCUUUGUAAAAAAAUUUACCGCAUGUUGUUAUCUAUUCAGUACUCAACGGCUCCCGGUGUUCGCGAAGUUCCCGUUAGCCUUAGAAAACAAAAAUCACGCGGUAUUAUCAUAAUUGAACACUGAUUUCACUUAAGUUAUUGGUUUUCUCGUCUAACCAGCCAUUUUUUUAAAUAAACAAAAAUAAG
rnacentral:lncRNA from 1 species